rnacentral:rRNA from 1 species
UGAGUGCGAGCUUCUACGGAAGCGAAGUUGGUGACGUCAAGCUUCCAAGAAAAGCCCUAUACCCGUUAAGGCAUGAUUACCUGUACCCGAAACCGACACAGGUGGGGUGGUAGAGAAUACCGAGGGGCGCGAGGUAACUCUCUCUAAGGAACUCGGCAAAAUGACCCCGUAACUUCGGGAGAAGGGGUGCCAGCGCGAGCUGGUCGCAGUGAAUAGGCCCAGGCGACUGUUUACCAAAAACACAGGUCUCCGCUAAGUCGCAAGACGAUGUAUGGGGGCUGACGCCUGCCCAGUGCCGGAAGGUUAAAGAAGUUGGUCAGCGCAAGCGAAUUUAACGACUGAAGCCCCGGUGAACGGCGGCCGUAACGAUAACGGUCCUAAGGUAGCGAAAUUCCUUGUCGGGUAAGUUCCGACCCGCACGAAAGGCGUAACGAUCUGGGCGCUGUCUCGGAGAGAGGCUCGGCGAAAUAGAAUUGUCUGUGAAGAUGCGGACUACGUGCACCCGGACAGAAAGACCCUAUGAAGCUUUACUGUAGCUUGGUAUUGUGCUCGGGCUCGCAAUGCGCAGGAUAGGUGGGAGGCUUUGAUCCAUUGCUUGUGGGUGAUGGUGAGCCACUGGUGAGAUACCACUCUUUGCGAGCUAGGGUUCUAACGGUUACCCGUCAUCCGGGAACCGGACAGUAUCUGGUGGGCAGUUUGACUGGGGCGGUCGCCUCCUAAAAGGUAACGGAGGCGCGCAAAGGUUUGCUCAGGCUGGUUGGAAAUCAGCCGACGAGUGUAAAAGCAGAAGCAAGCUUGACUGUGAGACCUACAAGUCGAACAGGGAGGAAACUCGGCUUUAGUGAUCCGACGGUUCUGAGUGGAAGGGCCGUCGCUCAACGGAUAAAAGUUACUCUAGGAUAACAGGCUGAUCUCCCCCAAGAGUUCACAUCGACGGGGAGGUUUGGCACCUCGAUGUCGGCUCAUCGCAACCUGGGGCUGAAGUCGGUCCCAAGGGUUGGGCUGUUCGCCCAUUAAAGCGGUACGCGAGCUGGGUUCAGAACGUCGUGAGACAGUUCGGUCCAUAUCCGGUGCAUGCGCAGGAAUAUUGAGAGGAUUUCUCCCUAGUACGAGAGGACCGGGAGGAACGCACCUCUGGUGUACCAGUUAUCGUGCCAACGGUAAACGCUGGGUAGCCAUGUGCGGAGUGGAUAACCGCUGAAAGCAUCUAAGUGGGAAGCCCUCCUCAAGAUGAGUAUUCCCAUGGCUUAAGCCAGUAAGGUCACGGGAAGAACACCCGUUGAUAGGCUCUAUGUGGAAGCGCAGUAAUGCGUGAAGCAGAGGAGUACUAAUAGACCGAGGGCUUGAC